AUAGUAGUGUCAGAGUUUGAUCCUGGCUCGGGAUGAACGCUAGCUAUAGGCUUAACACAUGCAAGUCGAGGGGAAACGGCAUGAGAUGCUUGCAUCUUAUGGACGUCGACCGGCGUACGGGUGAGUAACACGUAUCCAACCUUCCGGUUACUCGGGGAUAGGCUUUCGAAAGAAAGAUUAAUACCCGAUGUUGCGUAUCUUUCUCCUGAAAGAUACGCCAAAGGAUUCCGGUAACCGAUGGGGAUGCGUUCCAUUAGGCAGUUGGCGGGGUAACGGCCCACCAAACCUUCGAUGGAUAGGGGUUCUGAGAGGAAGGUCCCCCACAUUGGAACUGAGACACGGUCCAA
rnacentral:rRNA from 1 species